AGUGAACGCUGGCGGUAGGCCUAACACAUGCAAGUCGAACGGCAGCACAGUAAGAGCUUGCUCUUACGGGUGGCGAGUGGCGGAUGGGUGAGGAAUACAUCGGAAUCUACUUUUUCGUGGGGGAUAACGUAGGGAAACUUACGCUAAUACCGCAUACGACCUACCGGUGAAAGCAGGGGAUCUUGGGAGCUUGCGCGAUUGAAUGAGCCGAUGUCGGAUUAGCUAGUUGGCGGGGUAAAGGCCCACCAAGGCGACGAUCCGUAGCUGAUCUGAGAGGAUGAUCAGCCACACUGGAACUGAGACACGGUCCAGACUCCUACGGGAGGCAGCAGUGGGGAAUAUUGGACAAUGGGCGCAAGCCUGAUCCAGCCAUACCGCGUGAGUGAAGAAGGCCUUCGGGUUGUAAAGCCCUUUUGUUGGGAAAGAAAAACAGCGGGUUAAUACCCCGCUGUUCUGACGGUACCCAAAGAAUAAGCACCGGCUAACUUCGUG
rnacentral:rRNA from 1 species